rnacentral:rRNA from 1 species
AUUGAACGCUGGCGGCAUGCCUUACACAUGCAAGUCGAACGGCAGCGCGGGAGCAAUCCUGGCGGCGAGUGGCGAACGGGUGAGUAAUACAUCGGAACGUGCCCAAUCGUGGGGGAUAACGCAGCGAAAGCUGUGCUAAUACCGCAUACGAUCUACGGAUGAAAGCAGGGGAUCGCAAGACCUUGCGCGAAUGGAGCGGCCGAUGGCAGAUUAGGUAGUUGGUGAGGUAAAGGCUCACCAAGCCUUCGAUCUGUAGCUGGUCUGAGAGGACGACCAGCCACACUGGGACUGAGACACGGCCCAGACUCCUACGGGAGGCAGCAGUGGGGAAUUUUGGACAAUGGGCGAAAGCCUGAUCCAGCCAUGCCGCGUGCAGGAUGAAGGCCUUCGGGUUGUAAACUGCUUUUGUACGGAACGAAACGCUCUUUUCUAAUAAAGAAGGCUAAUGACGGUACCGUAAGAAUAAGCACCGGCUAACUACGUG